GAGACACUAGUAUAAAAUUAAUGCACUGCUUUGUCAAGGCAGAUAUGUGGGAGGGUCCCCCACGUGUUUUA
rnacentral:tRNA from 1 species